UAUUAAUUUAAUAUCUUUCUAAUUUUUAAAUUAAUUAUUUCUUUUUUUGUAGUAAGAUUAUAAACAAAUCAUUUUUGUAAACUGAACAGGAUUUUAAUUAUUAAUUUAAUAUUAUUAAUAGUACCUUUUGUAUCAGGGUAAUUUAAUUAAAAAAUUUAUUUUAUUUUCCCGAAAUAAAAUGAUUUAAUUUUAUUUUACUUUUCUUGUUUCAUAAAGUUUUUCAAAAUAAUUUUAGUAGUUAAAAGUUACUCGUCUUUUAUUAUAUCUGGUUAAUCAGGACGAAAAUUUAAUUAUGGAUUGAUUUAAUUUAAAUAAUUUUUUUUAUUUUAAUCUUAUAUAAUACUGGAUAAUCUGUAUUUUGUGUUAAAAUUAAAAUUUUAUAAAGUUUAUUUUUUUUAAAAUCUUAGUUUUAGUUCUUAAUAGAUUAGCUUUUUUAAAUAUAAUUUUUUGUAAUUUAAUUUUAUACUGAUUUUAAUUUAAUAACUAUUUCUUAUUUUAAAUAAUGAAUUAAUAAGUAUAAUUUUUAUUUUUUUUAAAUGAACUCGACAAAUUUAAUUUCCAAAUGUUUAUCAAAAACAUUUCUUUUAGUUUUUAUUAAAGGUAAUUUCUGCCCAAUGAUUAAAUUUAAAUGGCUGCAGUAUUUUGAGAGUACAAAGGUAGCAUAAUAAUUAGUCUUUUAAUUGGGGACUUGAAUGAAUGAAAAUAUGAGAUAUUAAUUUUAUUUUAAAUAUUAUUAUAAUUUAAUUUUUAAGUUAAAAAGCUUAAUUUUUUUAUAGGGACGAUAAGACCCUAUAGAACUUAACUAAAAUGAUUAAAUUGAUUUGGGUUAAUAAUUAUUCAUAAAUCGUUUAAUUGGGGUGAUUAAUAAAUUUAUAUUACUUUAUUUAUUUUAUGCAUUUUUUUAUGUUCUUUUGUUCCAUUAGAUAAUGAUUAAAAGUAAAAGUUACCUUAGUGAUAACAGCGUAAUUUUAGUGGGGAGUUCAUAUCUAUAUUAAAGUUUGCGACCUCGAUGUUGAAUUAAGAUUAAAUUAAGGGGUAGAUUCUUUAAUGUUUAAGUCUGUUCGACUUUUAAUUUCUUACAUGAUUUGAGUUCAAACCGGUGUAAGCCAGGUUGGUUUCUAUCUUAUAAAAUAAGAUUUUAUUAGUACGAAAGGACCAUAUAAUCCAAUAUUUAAUUGUAUAUUAUUAAAU
rnacentral:rRNA from 1 species